rnacentral:rRNA from 1 species
CCCCACUAUGCCCAGCCGUAAACCUUUAAUUACAAUUAAAUCGCCUGGGAACUACGAGCAAAGCUUAAAACCCAAAGGACUUGACGGUACCCCACAUCCACCUAGAGGAGCCUGUCCUAUAAUCGAUAAUCCACGUUCAACCUCACCAUUUUUAGCCUAUCAGCCUGUAUACCUCCGUCCUCAGCUUACCCCGUGAGUGAAAUCUAGUAAGCUUAAUGCCUUUACGCCAACACGUCAGGUCAAGGUGCAGCAAAUGAAAUGGGAAGAGAUGGGCUACACUCUCUAACUUAGAAAAUACGAAAGACUACCUAUGAAACCUAGUCAGAAGGCGGAUUUAGAAGUAAAAAGAAAAUAGCAUAUUCUUUUUAACCAGGCACUGGGGUGUGUACACACCGCCCG